GCCAGGUGUGGUGGCCCACGCCUGUAAUCCCAGGUACUUGGAAAGCUGAGGCAGGAGAAUUGCAAGUUCAAGGCCAGCCUGGGCUACUUAAUAAGACUCUGUUUCAA
rnacentral:sRNA from 1 species